CUGCCUGUUAUUUCUACUUUGCUCAUUAAGCUUGUGUCUACAGGAUCUAUAAAGACUGCAAAGUGCAAGUUACUGAGGAACAAAUACAACAAAACAAAGAAUUUCUCCCGUCUGGUUAAAUUAUUCCCUGGCACCUGAAGGAAAGGAGGGAAGACAUGCUACAGUCCAUAUUAAUAUGUGUGUUUAUGUAUGAGUGCUUGGGUGUGGGGGGAUUGUGCUAGGUAUGCCAGGGGUAUUUUUGGGCGGUCAUUCACUACACGUUAUAGUCCCCACUAAGACACUAAGAAACUGUAAAAAAAAAAACUGAGCAGAGUAAGUACAGUAAUCCAAUCAACACACAUUCAAGACCUCUCAGCAAACAGAUUGCCAGUCCUCUACCCUAAUCCAAAACACUGACGGAAAACUCCUGUAGAAAUAGAGAGUGAGUCAUAAUUCACAUUUGACAAUGUAAUUCCCCUCAGUUUCCAUGCCAAUAAAGCUAUAAUUUUA